rnacentral:rRNA from 1 species
GGGCCCGCACAAGCGGUGGAGUAUGUGGUUUAAUUCGAUGCAACGCGAAGAACCUUACCAGGGUUUGACAUCCUGCGAAUCUCUUGGAAACAGGAGAGUGCCUUCGGGAACGCAGUGACAGGUGGUGCAUGGCUGUCGUCAGCUCGUGUCGUGAGAUGUUCCGUUAAGUCGGAUAACGAGCGCAACCCUUACCCUUAUUUGCCAGCGAUUCGGUCGGGAACUAUAAGGGGACUGCCGGUGAUAAACCGGAGGAAGGUGAGGACGACGUCAAGUCAUCAUGGCCCUUACGAGUAGGGCUACACACGUGCUACAAAUGGGGGAAAUACAGACGGACGCUAAAGCCGCAAGGUGGUGCUAAUCCUAGAAAGUUUCUCGU